AUGCAAUGCAGACACCACCGGAACACCUGGAUUUCACCUGAAAGGACCCCUUCCCAAAAAUACUUUAAAGAUCAACAUCAGGCUCUGCAGUCUAGACAACGUCGGAAAAGCCACCUCAGGAUUUUGGAGACAAUUUAGCAGAUCCUGGAUGUAUCUGUGAGGACAGUUGUUGUACGCCCGGCCUCAGGCUCAGGAACUUUCUGCAACGUGAUUGUGCGACUUGUCUGACAACGAUCUACAUGUCAUAUAAGUCCCAACUGAGUCGAUAUAGGAGCUAAGAUCAAAGGAUUUAUAAGGACCCUGAGCCAAAAUCAGAAAUACCCUGGAAUAGCCCUUUAACAGUGACAUGAGAGAAAUAAAACGUUCAUGUGAAUUCUGGAAUGUCCACAUAGAGUGAAUUGCAACCAUCAAGCUUGAUACCCUAUACGAGAGCUGUAACCACGUGUACGGUAUUAGCUCUUUACUGUAAAGAAGGGAAUAAAAUGUGUU